GUGUCGGAUAUUGGGCGUAAGGGCUCGCAGGCGGUUUCUUAAGUCUGAUGUGAAAGCCCCCGGCUCAACCGGGGAGGGUCAUUGGAAACUGGGGAACUUGAGUGCAGAAGAGGAGAGUGGAAUUCCACGUGUAGCGGUGAAAUGCGUAGAGAUGUGGAGGAACACCAGUGGCGAAGGCGACUCUCUGGUCUGUAACUGACGCUGAGGAGCGAAAGCGUGGGGAGCGAACAGGAUUAGAUACCCUGGUAGUCCACGCCGUAAACGAUGAGUGCUAAGUGUUAGGGGGUUUCCGCCCCUUAGUGCUGCAGCUAACGCAUUAAGCACUCCGCCUGGGGAGUACGGUCGCAAGACUGAAACUCAAAGGAAUUGACGGGGGCCCGCACAAGCGGUGGAGCAUGUGGUUUAAUUCGAAGCAACGCGAAGAACCUUACCAGGUCUUGACAUCCUCUGACAAUCCUAGAGAUAGGACGUCCCCUUCGGGGGCAGAGUGACAGGUGGUGCAUGGUUGUCGUCAGCUCGUGUCGUGAGAUGUUGGGUUAAGUCCCGCAACGAGCGCAACCCUUGAUCUUAGUUGCCAGCAUUCAGUUGGGCACUCUAAGGUGACUGCCGGUGACAAACCGGAGGAAGGUGGGGAUGACGUCAAAUCAUCAUGCCCCUUAUGACCUGGGCUACACACGUGC
rnacentral:rRNA from 1 species